CGCGUAGGCGGCUUCAUAAGUCAGGGGUGAAAUCCGGCAGCUUAACUGUCGCAGUGCCUUUGAUACUGUGGAGCUCGAGGGAGGUAGGGGUCUGUGGAACUUCCGGUGGAGCGGUGAAAUGCGUUGAUAUCGGAAGGAACGCCGGUGGCGAAAGCGACGGACUGGAUCUCUUCUGACGCUGAGGCGCGAAAGCCAGGGGAGCAAACG
rnacentral:rRNA from 1 species